rnacentral:rRNA from 1 species
UACGUAGGGGGCAAGCGUUGUCCGGAAUCAUUGGGCGUAAAGAGCGUGUAGGCGGUUCGGUAAGUCGGCUGUGAAAGUCCAGGGCUCAACCCUGGGAUGCCGGUCGAUACUGCCGGACUAGAGUCCGGAAGAGGCAAGUGGAAUUCCCGGUGUAGCGGUGAAAUGCGCAGAUAUCAGGAAGAACACCCGUGGCGAAGGCGGCUCUCUGGGACGGUACUGACGCUGAGACGCGAAAGCGUGGGGAGCGAACAGG